rnacentral:rRNA from 1 species
AUUGAACGCUGGCGGCAGGCCUAACACAUGCAAGUCGAGCGGAUGAAGGGAGCUUGCUCCUGGAUUCAGCUGCGGACGGGUGAGUAAUUCCUAGGAAUCUGCCUGGUAUUGGGGGCUAACGUCCGGAAACGGGCGCUAAUACCGCAUACGUCCUGAGGGAGAAAGGGGUGGAUCUUCGGACCUCACGCUAUCAGAUGAGCCUAGGUCGGAUUAGCUAGUUGGUUGGGUAAAGGCCUACCAAGGCGACGAUCCGUAACUGGUCUGAGAGGAUGAUCAGUCACACUGGAACUGAGACACGGUCCAGACUCCUACGGGAGGCAGCAGUGGGGAAUAUUGGACAAUGGGCGAAAGCCUGAUCCAGCCAUGCCGCGUGUGUGAAGAAGGUCUUCGGAUUGUAAAGCACUGUUAGUUGGGAGGAAGGGCAGUAAGUUAAUACCUUGCUGUUUUGACGUUACCAAAAGAAUAAGCAACGGCUAACUUCGUG